GACGAAGGCAGCGAGCGUUGUUCGGAAUUACUGGGCGUAAAGAGUGUGUAGGCGGUUUUCCAAGUUUGGUGUGAAAUCUCCCGGCUUAACUGGGAGGGUGCGCCGAAAACUGGGAGGCUUGAGUGCCGGAGAGGAUAGCGGAAUUCCUGGUGUAGCGGUGAAAUGCGUAGAUAUCAGGAGGAACACCUGCGGUGUAGACGGCUAUCUGGACGGCCACUGACGCUGAGACACGAAAGCGUGGGUAGCAAACAGG
rnacentral:rRNA from 1 species